rnacentral:rRNA from 1 species
AAUGGCGGCCAUAGCGGUGGGGAUACACCCGGACUCAUUCCGAACCCGGCAGUUAAGUCCACCCGCGUCGAACA